AAGUCGUAACAAGGUCUCCGUUGGUGAACCAGCGGAGGGAUCAUUACCGAGUUUACAACUCCCAAACCCAAUGUGAACGUUACCAAACUGUUGCCUCGGCGGGAUCUCUGCCCCGGGUGCGUCGCAGCCCCGGACCAAGGCGCCCGCCGGAGGACCAACCAAAACUCUUUUUGUAUACCCCCUCGCGGGUUUUUUUAUAAUCUGAGCCUUCUCGGCGCCUCUCGUAGGCGUUUCGAAAAUGAAUCAAAACUUUCAACAACGGAUCUCUUGGUUCUGGCAUCGAUGAAGAACGCAGCGAAAUGCGAUAAGUAAUGUGAAUUGCAGAAUUCAGUGAAUCAUCGAAUCUUUGAACGCACAUUGCGCCCGCCAGUAUUCUGGCGGGCAUGCCUGUCCGAGCGUCAUUUCAACCCUCGAACCCCUCCGGGGGGUCGGCGUUGGGGAUCGGCCCUGCCUCUUGGCGGUGGCCGUCUCCGAAAUACAGUGGCGGUCUCGCCGCAGCCUCUCCUGCGCAGUAGUUUGCACACUCGCAUCGGGAGCGCGGCGCGUCCACAGCCGUUAAACACCCAACUUCUGAAAUGUUGACCUCGGAUCAGGUAGGAAUACCCGCUGAACUUAA
rnacentral:rRNA from 1 species